AUGAACGCUAGCUACAGGCUUAACCCAUGCAAGUCGCGGGGAAACGACAUCGAAAGCUUGCUUUUGAUGGGCGUCGACCGGCGCACGGGUGAGUAACGCGUAUCCAACCUGCCCAUCACUUGGGAAUAACCUUGCGAAAGUAAGACUAAUACCCAAUGACAUCCCACGAAGACAUCUGAAUGGGAUUAAAGAUUUAUCGGUGAUGGAUGGGGAUGCGUCUGAUUAGCUUGUUGGCGGGGUAACGGCCCACCAAGGCAACGAUCAGUAGGGGUUCUGAGAGGAAGGUCCCCCACAUUGGAACUGAGACACGGUCCAAACUCCUACGGGAGGCAGCAGUGAGGAAUAUUGGUCAAUGGGCGAGAGCCUGAACCAGCCAAGUAGCGUGCAGGAUGACGGCACUAUGGGUUGUAAACUGCUUUUAUAAGGGAAUAAAGUGGGUCUCGUGAGACUUUUUGCAUGUACCUUAUGAAUAAGGACCGGCUAAUUCCGUG
rnacentral:rRNA from 1 species